rnacentral:rRNA from 1 species
GACGAACGCUGGCGGCGUGCUUAACACAUGCAAGUCGAACGAAAAGAGGGAAAGAGCUUGCUCUUUCCGGAAUUGAGUGGCAAACGGGUGAGUAACACGUAAACAACCUGCCUUCAGGAUGGGGACAACAGACGGAAACGACUGCUACAACCGAAUAAGUUCCAAGGGCCGCAUGGCCCAUGGAAGAAAAGGUGGCCUCUACCUGUAAGCUAACGCAUGCAGAGGGGUUUGCGUCUGAUUAGCAGGUUGGAGGGGUAACGGACCACCAAGUAGACGAGCAGAAGCCGGACUGAGAGGAUGAUCAGCCACAGUGGAACGGGGACGCGCACCAGCCUUCGACGGGAGGCAGCGGGGGGGAACCUUCCGCAAGGGGCGAAAGCCUGACGGCGCAAAGCCGCGAGAGCGUGGACGGCCUUCGCGUUGUAAAACUCUGUGAUCCGGGACGAAAAGGCAGAUUGCGAAGAACAAGCUGCAUUGACGGUACCGGAAAAGCAAGCCACGGCUAACUACGUG